CCCUUAUCGUUCAGUUUAAAUUAUUUUGGAGGCAUCCCGAUUAUAUGUAUACACAAUCUCGGGCAUCCAAUAGCAGGAAGCAGCAGAGGGCUGAUGCUGCUCACCCUCUCAGUGAUAUUUGGCAUCUUCUACGUGGAUGCUUCUCAAUCAAGAUCAAAUAUAUUCGUCAUAAAAUUAAUAGUAUGAUUGACUGGAUGGUCUCCU
rnacentral:lncRNA from 1 species